GUCACUGACUAUUAGACUACCCGGUAGUCCCAGCCGUAAACAAUGUGCGUUAGGUGUGUCGGUAACCACGUGUUACUGAUGCGCCGAAGAGAAAUCGUGAAACGCACCACCUGGGAAGUACGGUCGCAAGGCUGAAACUUAAAGGAAUUGGCGGGGGAGCACCACAACAGGUGGAGCCUGCGGUUUAAUUGGAUUCAACGCCGGACAUCUCACCGGAUAAGACAGCUGAAUGAUUGUCAAUCUGAAGGUUUUACAUGACUAGCUG
rnacentral:rRNA from 1 species